UGUUGGUGGCCGGGCUGGCAGCCCUCUAACUGUGGCCCUGGUGCUAUACACUGUGGCUCCCUGCCUUUCUAAUGUCAGGGAGUGGAUCGCCCCUUUUUGUCUGUUGAUGGGGAAAAAAAGCAAAUUGAUGUAUCCUAAGGAUCAUGGGACUUUCCCACCUGAUUUGCUGCUAAAAUCUUUCAAAUGUGUCACCUCUCCCAUUAGCACAUGAGCUCCCUGAGAGAGCAUUUGUAUACUCGUGCCCAGGAUAGGACCCACAUACAAUGAGCAUUCGGGAAGUCUCUAGUAAAUGAAUGGGUUUGUAUCCAGCACACAGAGAAACGGAGAGAUGCCUCGAUGUAGGAUUUUCUAUUGAAUUUUGGAAGAUCCCGUUUUAAAAAUAAGAAUCUUUGGCAACAUCUGAUUUUUAAUCUCCGUACCAUCCCAACAUGCACACAAGAAAACGGGGAGGCCGAGGAGGAUGCCCCGGACGGAGUCGUCAGCACUGUGUCUCCCGAGCGUGUGGGGCCCGGGCUCUGGCGGAGGCGGCUUCGGGUCUCCACUCCGGACUCACGGGCACCCAGUCCCACAUGUCCAGGGCCGGCCUUAGCAGCCUGAACGUAUUUCCUGAAGACAACAAAUCACAGACAGGGAAACGCAGGAACAGACUGGAGUGCUUGGGACCUGUCUUUGUAACCGUAACCCUCCGACAGGCCUAAUCAAUUAGAAGGGCUGAUUUUAACCAGUCGCAGGCUCAUUAUGCCGCAUUCCACUUUGUGUUGAUGAAAAUCAGUUUCAGUCUGUGGCCUGGAACUCAUGUACGGCAACUUCCUGAGGCCUCUUAUAUAAACACAUCAAGAAACAUUUUUAUUUGGAGUUGCUCUCCCCCUUUUAUUUUAAGGGAGCGGCUUUGGGAAUCAAGAUUCAAUUAAAAUGAUUUGAAACCUGGACUCAGAACAUACAUAUGUGUAAAUUAU